GACGAACGCUGGCGGUGUGCUUAACACAUGCAAGUCGAACGGUAAGGCCCUUUCGGGGGUACACGAGUGGCGAACGGGUGAGUAACACGUGAGUAACCUGCCCUCAUCUCUGGGAUAACAGUCGGAAACGGUUGCUAAUACUGGAUAUGAGCUUGCAAGGCAUCUUGUGGGUUGGAAAGAUUUUUUUGGUUGGGGAUGGACUCGCGGCCUAUCAGCUUGUUGGUGAGGUAGUGGCUCACCAAGGCUUCGACGGGUAGCCGGCCUGAGAGGGCGACCGGCCACAUUGGGACUGAGAUACGGCCCAAACUCCUACGGGAGGCAGCAGUGGGGAAUAUUGCACAAUGGACGGAAGUCUGAUGCAGCAACGCCGCGUGCGGGAUGACGACCUUCGGGUUGUAAACCGCUUUCAAUUGUGACGAAGCUUUUUGUGACGGUAGCAGUAGAAGAAGCACCGGCUAACUACGUG
rnacentral:rRNA from 1 species